rnacentral:rRNA from 1 species
UGGCGGACGGGUGAGUAACACGUGAGUAACCUGCCCUUGACUUUGGGAUAACUUCAGGAAACUGGGGCUAAUACCGGAUAGGAGCUCCUGCUGCAUGGUGGGGGUUGGAAAGUCUCGGCGGUUGGGGAUGGACUCGCGGCUUAUCAGCUUGUUGGUGGGGUAGUGGCUUACCAAGGCUUUGACGGGUAGCCGGCCUGAGAGGGUGACCGGCCUCAUUGGGACUGAGACACUGCCCAGACUCCUACGGGGGGCUGCAGUAACGAAUCUUCCGCAAUGCACGAAAGUGUGACGGAGCGACGCCGCGUGUGGGACGAAGCCCUUCGGGGUGUAAACCACUGUCAGGGGUUACCAAGAACUGAGGAGCCCCAGAGGAAGGCACGGCUAACUCUGUGCCAGCAGCCGCGGUAAU